AAUAAACCAGGCAGCUUCACAGAGGGAGGUACAGGCACACCCUAGCUGUGGGCUCCGGCUGUAUUCCAGCACCCCAAGUGGGGUACCCGUGCUGGUGCCAGCCUCUGUGUAGAUGCAACCUGGAGCACGAUGUCACGGAGCAAAACUCAGGGUUGGUGUGUGCACGUGGGGAACGAAUCGUGCAGGCUGCUUGUGAUGAUGGACGGGCUGCUCUAGUCCUAGCACGGAGCAGGAGGAGGAGGAGGAGGUCAGUCAUGGAGCUGAGCUCUGCUUGUGAUACGUUCUGCAGCAUCUCUGGUCUUCCUCCAGCAGUGAGGCUGAGCCCUGGUGCUGAGAAGGGAGGUUUGGACUUGAGCUGUAGGCAGUUGAAGAACAGAAAAGAAACAGAGGAACAAAGGUUCUGAAAAUCCGACUUCCCCACCAACCUCAGUGUUAUGUGCACGGACUGCUUCAGCUGGACUCCGCUUUUGACCUGCUCCACUCCACCUAGAAAGGAGCACAUAAGGGUGAGCAGUUCAUUAUUCCUGAAUGCUCCAUUCUGCCCUCACAGGCAGAUACUGAUCUUGAUUUAGCUGUUCAGCCAUGGAUGCCUUUGAACUCAGACCUAGCAGAGAGGGCUGAAUCUUUUCCAUCUGAUUCAUAUCCAGAGCUUCUGCUAUUUACUCAAGCCUCUCGGGUGGAGACAUUGGGCUGGAGAGCUUGUGGGAACAACUCCCUUCAAGUUCUAGCUGCAAUCUGAAAGCUGUGGUGGAGGAAGAAAAACAGGGUAACCAGCUUGUCUUCAAAGUGAGCCUUUCUUCUCCCCAAAGCAAGUGUAGUUCUGACCCUAUUUAACACCAGCUCUCUCACACAGGAUGAGAGGUUAGUACAUGCAGGGUUUCAGGCUCAUAGAACAGCUUUGCAAGUCCUUCUUCUCUGCUUGAUUGGGACAGGUACAUGUCUUUAAUAAGCACUUUCUUCAGCACAAUUACAGUAAGGAUGGCAAGUGAUUUUUUUUUUCAUGUGGACUGCCAAGUUUUCAUGGCAGUCGUGACACUUUUGCAGUGUUAGCUUUAGCAGUAACGUGUUCCGUGCACUGAGUGACCCUUCAGUAAGUUAAUGCUUCCGCAUCUACCUCAGAGAGAGCUGGCUGGAGACCUCUGGCCAGAGCAGCGCUGUUUUAGCUUGUCGGGAUGGCUUCAUUAGAAUUUUCAUUGCAGAUUUAGUGUGUGAAAUAAGUUUGGCUUCCAGCCUGGUGACUUGUCUCAGUCACCUAUGCUUUUAGCCUGCGUGCGAGGAUGAGCAAGAAUGUCUUACUCAGUGGUAAUCAUGUCAUCUUGGGUUUUUAAACCUCGCCUUUAUUCCUGGCAAACCAACACCUAAUUAGUUUGAUAGUAUUAAAUGCACUGGAUAUUUUAUGUGUUAUCAGUUAUUAAUGUAUGCUGCUGAUAUAGGAUUCUAUUUGACUUGAACAAAGCACCUUUUACACUCUGGAUGAAGCAAGCAUUACUUUGGUUAACUGCUGGGCUGAUGGCAGCCCGAUAGCCGCCAGGCUGCCCCUGGAAAGCGUAGCACUAACGGACCCAUUCCUUGGGCAAUGCUGUCGUCUGCCUGGUAGUCACGGACUGCCAGCUGUUGGGAUAUCCCUGUCACACAUCUUCGGCCACGAGUUCAGAAGGUAUCGCAGGAGCUCUUCACACUAACUGCAUUGUAUAAAUUUGAGGACAAAGGUCAUAAUAUUCAUGAACAGGGAAAAAAGAAAAAUAAAA